GUGCCAGCAGCCGCGGUAAUACAGAGGGGGCAAGCGUUGUCCGGACUUACUGGGUGUAAAGCGCAUGCAGGUGGCUGUGCAAGUAUGCUGUGAAAGCCCCGUGCUUAACACGGGGAGGCCAGUAUAGACUGCACGGCUCGAGGACUGCAGAGGGUAGGGGAAUUGCUGGUGUAGUGGUGAAAUGCGUAGAGAUCAGCAGGAACACCAAGGCCGAAGGGACCUACCUGGGCAGUAUCUGACACUCAAGUGCGACAGCGUGGGGAGCGAACCGGAUUAGAUACCCGCGUAGUCC
rnacentral:rRNA from 1 species